rnacentral:rRNA from 1 species
CAGGAUACCCUUAUCCCUGGGUCUGGAAAAGUGUCUCGGUAAGUCCUGGUGAAAGCCGGGAUGUGCCCGUCAAGGGAGCCGAGUGACAGGUGCUGCAUGGCUGUCGUCAGCUCGUGUCGUGAGAUGUUGGGUUAAGUCCCGCAACGUAGCGCACACCCCUAUCGUUAGUUGCCAUCAGUUCGGCUGGAGCACUCUAAACGAGACUGCCGGCGUCAAGCCGGAGGCAAGGUGGGGACGACGUCAAGUCCUCAUGGCCCUUAUGUCCAGGGCUACACACGUGCUACUACAUGGUGCAUACAGAGCGCGAGCAAGCUCGCGAGAGUAAGCCAAUCGCGAUAAAGUGCACCUCUAGUACAGAUUGCACUCAUGCAACUCGAGUGCAUGAAGUCGGUAAUCGCAUAGUA